GAGUGGACGCAUCACUGGUGUUCGGGUUGUCAUGCCAAUGGCACUGCCCGGUAGCUAAAUGCGGAAGAGAUAAGUGCUGAAAGCAUCUAAGCACGAAACUUGCCCCGAGAUGAGUUCUCCCUGAGACCUAGAGUCUCCUGAAGGAACGUUGAAGACGACGACGUUGAUAGGUCGGGUGUGUAAGUGUAGCGAUACAUUGAGCUAACCGAUACUAAUGAACCGUGAGGCUUAACCUUACAACGCCGAAG
rnacentral:rRNA from 1 species